rnacentral:tRNA from 1 species
AAGGAUUUAAGUUAAAAAAACUAUUAACCUUCAAAGUUAAAAUUAUAUAAAAUGUAAGCCUUA